rnacentral:rRNA from 1 species
AACGAACGCUGGCGGCGCGCCUAAUACAUGCAAGUCGAGCGAGAAGGUGUAGCAAUACACUUGUAAAGCGGCGAACGGGUGAGGAAUACAUGGGUAAUCUACCAUCGAGUGGGGAAUAACCAACCGAAAGGUUGGCUAAUACCGCGUACGCCUCCGAAUCUUCGGGUUCGGAGGGAAAGCUGCACUGUGAGUGUAGCGCUCUUUGAUGAGCUCAUGUCCUAUCAGCUUGUUGGUAGGGUAACGGCCUACCAAGGCUUUGACGGGUAGCUGGUCUGAGAGGACGAUCAGCCACACUGGCACUGCGACACGGGCCAGACUCCUACGGGAGGCAGCAGUAAGGAAUAUUGCGCAAUGGGCGAAAGCCUGACGCAGCGACGCCGCGUGGGGGAUGAAGGUCUUCGGAUUGUAAACCCCUUUCGGGAGGGAAGAUGGAGCGAGGCAAUCGUUCGGACGGUACCUCCAGAAGCAGCCACGGCCAACUUCGUGCCAGCAGCCG